GUGCUCACAUUGGCAGCACAUAUAUUAAUAUUAAAAAUGGAAUGAUACGGGGGAGAUUAGCAUGGCGCCUGUGCAAGGAUGGCAUGGGUGGAAAAAAGGUAUCUUAGAAAUCU
rnacentral:snRNA from 1 species